rnacentral:lncRNA from 1 species
AGAGACGAGCCCUCGGAAGACACUGGUCGGAUUCCCCGCGCCCGCGCGGAGAAUUGAGUGUCCCCCAGGUGAAGCAAGCCUAAGUGAUGGUUACCACGGCAACGCGAGGGCUGGAUUGUUCCAGAGAAGCAGGCCUUUGGUUCACGUGAGCGGUUAGGGGUGUGGCUCUAACCUAGGAAGCUUGGAGAGGCUACAGAUGGCCUGUGAGAUGGACGCUUGCCAAGGUUGUUGACUUGCCAAGGCCAAGGCGCUGGAGGAUCCCUGCCGGGUAGAAGUCUUGGGGUCAUGUGAGAACGGGUUGGCGGUGGGUGGUCCGGAGUACAAGGAGCCACACUGGGGUGCGAAGUGCCGCAGGAGGGGUUAGCGGCCAAGUGGACAUCAUGUAGAUCCCUGUUCGGUUGCAAGUUUCAGAGGACCAUGACCAUCGUAACGCGGAGCAUGACAGCAGGCAAACCGGGAUGGCGCUGGAGCAGCAGCUGAGAGCUUACAUUGUGGCUCAUAAGCUGAAAGAGACUACAGGGUAUUGUGUGGGCUUUUGAAACCUUAAAGUCCACACCACUGUCACCCCUGCCCCAAGAAAACUUAUCUCCUAAUCCUUGCCAAACAGUUCUACCAAAUGGGGACCAAGCAUUCAAAUACAUGAAACUGUAGGGGUCAUUCCGAUUCAACCAUACACAAGACCCCCCCCACACACAACUUUAUUUCUUUAUUACUUAUUUUUGUGUUGGGUUUGGUUUGGUUUGCCUUUGGUUGGUUAUUGUUUGCUUGCUUGUUUUGAGGCAAGGUUUGUCUAACAGUCCUGGCUGUCCUGGAACUCACUUUGUGGCCCAGGCUGGCCUCGAACUCACAGCUCUGCCUGCAUCUGCCUCUUAAGUGUUGGUAUUAAAG